rnacentral:rRNA from 1 species
UACAGAGGGUGCGAGCGUUAAUCGGAAUUACUGGGCGUAAAGAGCUCGUAGGCGGUUUGUCACGUCUGCUGUGAAAACUGGAGGCUCAACCUCCAGCCUGCAGUGGGUACGGGCAGACUAGAGUGCGGUAGGGGAGUGUGGAAUUCCUGGUGGAGCGGUGAAAUGCGCAGAUAUCAGGAGGAACACCCGUAGCGAAGGCGGCACUCUGGGCCGGAACUGACGCUGAGGAGCGAAAGCGUGGGGAGCGAACAGG